rnacentral:ncRNA from 20 species
GCCGAUGCCAAUUGGGUCGGCAUGGUCAGGGAGCGCCACGCUUCUUGGCGCUUCCUCGUAUCUAUGUUGCUCUACGGAGGAUGUAGCUAUGAGAA